rnacentral:rRNA from 1 species
GCCAGCAGCUAUAUCACCCUGCAACUCACAAUUGACAACUCACCGAAGCUCAGCGGGUGUGAGCCUGGCAAGUACCUGGCUGGGAGACCUCCUGGGAAAGCUAAGGUGGCUGCUGGAA